rnacentral:sRNA from 1 species
CCCCACAGGACUUUUCACAGGGCUUGGCUUGUAGUAGACAGUCAGGCCAUAUUUGUUGAAAAAAUUGAUGGGAAUAAUACUGCCCAAGUGAGACAACGAUUCUGGAUUCUGUUUUCAAUGCGGGGGUCUUUCAUCAGUCCCCACAGAGACCACCUAUCACACGCUGGAGGAGGGCGUGGUGGAGUACUGCACGGCUGAGGCGCCCCCACCUCUGCCACCGGAGGCCCCUGUGGACAUGAUGGCCCAGCACGCAGACACGUCGGUCAAGCCGCAAGCGCUCAAGAGCCGCAUUGCUCUCAACUCCGCCAAGCUGAUACAGGAGCAGCGGGUCACCAACCUGCAUGUGAAGGAGAUCGCACAGCACCUGGAACAGCAGAACGACCUACUGCAGAUGAUCCGCCGCUCCCAGGAAGUGCAGGCCUGUGCCCAGGAGCGCCAGGCCCAGGCCAUGGAGGGCACACAGGCUGCCCUGAGCGUCCUCAUCCAGGUCCUCCGGCCUAUGAUCAAAGAUUUCCGCCGCUACCUGCAGAGCAACACAGCUAACCCGGCCCCCGCCUCUGACCCUGGGCAGGUGGCCCAGAACGGGCAGCCAGACAGCAUCAUCCAGUGAGGGCAGGGGUCAGGCCAGCCUUCUGCCGUGAUGGGAUGAAAACUCCAUGGUCUUGUAAGUGGGUCCUGUGGUUGGCCUUGGCCUUAGACCGGCCAUGUGCACAGCUCCCUCUUUAAUAAACGCUUAGGGCUUGCACUGUUUUUGAGAAGAGGAAUUUGUUGGGCUCCUGGGACCCAAACUCUUACUCCCCCUACUUGAGCUGCCUUGCUAAGAUCCAGAAGAUUGGUUAGCUGGGGGUCACAUGUGCAUGUGAUGGGACACGUGUUGUCAUGACCGCGGGCUUGUGACAUGACCCAGCCUUGGUCUUGGACAACUGUAAGGAACAACACAACGGGCUCUCACUGGGGGCCGUCGCCCAGCCUGGGUCUCUACUGAGCUGCCCUACCCCAGGUGCCAUCCUUUCGAGUAGGGUAAUGUCACUGGUGCUGGCAGUUGAGCAAUAAUAUCUUCCUCCCUUGGGAGGUAGUGUGACUGAGCCUGAAGAGGAAACCCCACCCUUUUCUCCUCACUGUGCCUCAGUUCUCAGGGGACUCCAAUGACUGUUGUGCUCUCCCCCGACCCCACCCCAGGCACAGCGCAGGCCUUUGUUAGGUAGUGCGCUGGGACGCCUCCGUAAUACAUGCGUAAUACAUGCGUAAUACAUGUGCAGCCAGUCUGGCUCAAGAAUGCUGUGUAUGGUGGGGACAGUCUGGCCACUCUCUGGUUUUCAACAGCAUCUCUGGGCAGCCCUUUGGUGGUUUGUCCCUAGAGCCUUUGACUCAGGUCAAGCUUUGGAUGCUGUAAAUUUUCGAGAAAGCCAACUAGUGUGGAAGCUUGCUGCCCCACUGCAGUGGGUCUGAGUGACCUGUUGGCUUUGUGCAGAGGCUUGCAUCCAGCUAGUUGUAUUUAUUCUGUGUGUGAACCCCUCCUAGGAUGGCCUCCAGGAGGGCUGCCCUGUGGCCACAUCCUUCCUCCUUUCCUCUCUGCUGACUCCACAUUUCCAAAAUUCAGUGCAAAAAAAGCCCUGCUGAGCAUCACAUGCUGGACUCUUCCCCUGCCACACCGCUCAGUGCCUCCUGUUCUCUUGAGACUCCCUCUGAGUGGCUGAGUGAAUCCAAAGCCAUGAUUGACCCUGAAUGUAGGAGGAGGAAGAGGCGAAGCUGACCUAAGAAGUGGGAACCUGGCCGGGCACGGUGGCUCAAGUCUGUAAUCCCAGCACUUUGGGAGGCCGAGGCGGGUGGAUCACGAGGUCAAGAGAUCAAGACCAUCCUGGCCAACAUGGUGAAACCCCCGUCUCUACUAAAAAUAUAAAAAUUAGCUGGGCGUAGUGGCAUGUGCCUGUAGUCCCAGCUACCCGGGAGGCUGAGGCAGGAGAAUCGCUUGAAGCCAGGAGGCGGAGGUUGCAGUGAGCCAAGAUUGCACCGCUGCACUCCAGCCUGGCGACAGAGCGAGACUCCGUCUCAAAAAAAAAAAA